UUGGGCUACAAAUCGACAUUGUGUCUCCAA
rnacentral:piRNA from 1 species